ACGCCCCCUUUUUUUCCCCCGCCUCUGGCAUCGCUUUCCCUGCUCACGCCUCCAUCACCAUCUCCAAAGCAAGUGGCAAUGUUGAAACGCUGCUAGAAAAAAAGAUGAAAAUAAAAUGGGGGGAAAAAAGAGACUCCCGUCCUGUGUCCCAUGGGGCAGAUGCCUCCGGCAGCCCCCGGGUGUGGGUGCCCUGCUAAGGGGACGGGGGUCCCGGGGGUGGCUGCAGGCUGGCGGUGGGACGGGGCCCUGUUGGUGCCCAGCAAGGGCUUGUGAAAUGGCCUCAGAAAUGCUGAGCAAAUGCCUUCCCGGCCAGUGGGAAAAGCUUAUGUGCAACCAAGCCUGCGCCUGCUUCCGGGGAAAUAAAGUUUCCUCUUUUUUUUUUUUUGAGUAGAAACCCAGGUUUGCUCCUCUGGCGGUGUCUGUCCCCGCGUCCCGCAGCCUGGCCGCACGCACAGCCGCUCGCGGGCGGCCCUGCCGGCAGGCUAUUUCUGUGCUCUGUAUUUUAUUACCAAGCGCUAUUCCAGGCCGGCCGUGAUUUACUGCGCGCUGCUCCAGAGAGCACUGGCAUCACAGGUUUUGUGCUAUUUCGAUCAUUUCUGGAAAUCGCACCGAACAUGCUGAUAAGAAGCAAGGAGCGGGGCUCUGAUUUCCCCGAAGGAGCGGAGGCAAGGCGGGCGCGGGGCUGGGACCGCGCUGCCGGGGGGCAGAGGCACAGCGCUGAGCCUGACGGCGGGAAAAGGGCUCCCUGGGUGCUGAGGAACGUCUUGGGGGUGGGUUUUGUCUUUUCAGGACUAUGCACGUGGAGGCUGAAAAGAAUAUAAAUGGGGUCGCUGUCGGAAAGGUGUGUCGCUGCAACACGGCGGCGAGAAAGAGCCUUUCCACGCCUGCUCUGGGACAAGAGAAAAUCAGUAUUUAAACAGAGCCAUCAGGAGGCUACUGCGGGACCCAGCUCUGACAGCGCUGAGAGGCUCUGACGAGCAGCCCCCUCCCGUCCCUCACCACCACCCUCUUUUAAGCUGUCGGAAGUGAAACUAAAAUAAGCAAUACCCUUCUUCGAGGGAAAAAUUCCAGUGCUUCAACUGCAAUUUACAAAAUAAAGUGGCAGCAGAGCCUGAAAUCAAUAUAGCAGAACCCCUGUGUCAGGAUUAGAGCGCAGCCCGCUCCCCGAAGUGAAUGACGGCGUUUGUCUUGCCGUGCCCCCGUGCAGACGGACACACCGCUGCGUACGCCCCCGUGUGUGUUCACCCGCAGCCAGAGGACACGGACGCGGGAAGGUCCGAUCCCUCUGGCUGUGGGGGUUUGAGACACGUUCCCAGCACCCAGCUCCAUCCAGCCGCUCGGCCUAAGGCUGCAUUAAGCAGCCGCGGGGACCAGCAGGACCCUGCCUGCAGCUUGAAGCGUUUGGUGCUGAGGACACAGCAGCCACAUACCCCCGUGUUACAGCAACAAGCGAGCUCUGCGAGCGGCUACAGAGCACGGCUGUAAUGAGCUAUAAUGGUCUGGGAUGCUAUUCAGGCCACCCAACUCGGCAGAAGUCUUCUCAAGGCAAGACAAUUACCAGGAGGAUGUUUUGUCUGACUAUGGAGCCAGAUGGGAAUCUGAAAAAUUCAUGGCCAGAGUCUGAAAUUGUUCCUCUUAAUGACUAAUAGGCUGCUUGAAAAAAAUCAUCCAAGCCAACCCAAUCCAACCCCUACCCCAGCCCAACCCAA